CCUCGUUUGCUUUAUGCGUUGAUUUUGUUCACUUCUGUACAACAUCUAAUCGCUGGAAGAGUCUUUUGUGUAAACAUUUAUUAAAAAAGUGGAAAAGAAUUAAUAAAUAAAUCAAAUUAAUAUAAACAGACUCCGUAAGAGUGAAAGGGAAGCUAACAUUGCAAAGUUAGCGUUGUGCAGGAAAGAUAACAGAUAACAGCAAUGAAAUCGAUUCUCCAGCCAGCUGGCGUUUUGAGCGGCUUAAACUUUAUUUUGAGUGAGGAAAUUGUUCUAGCCUAUAACGUCGAUGGCGUCCAAGGGAAGAAGGCCCUUAGGACCCACAAAGAAUUUUUUCCAGCUUUGCUAGAAUGUAUUCCGCCUGGCGAUGAGCCCCCCGAAAACACUGUGCGGAAGGCAAUGCAAAGGAUGAAGAAAAGGGUGUUUAAGAAGAAGUGUCUUGCCAAAAACCAGGAGUAGGCUAAGCAUCAUAUAAUUAAAAAUUAUUCGUUAUAAUGAAA